rnacentral:rRNA from 1 species
GGAUCAUCAGGUUGGUCGUGCCUCUGGUAUGUACUUUCCUCGAUGGUUCUUCCUUCUUGAAGAUCCGUAAUGUCAUUAAUUUGGUGUUGCGGGGAAUCAGGACUGUUACUUUGAAAAAAUUAGAGUGUUUAAAGCAAGCAAACGCUUGAAUACAUUAGCAUGGAAUAAUGAAAUAGGACGUUCGAACCUAUUUUGUUGGUUUCUAGGAUUGACGUA